rnacentral:rRNA from 1 species
AAUAUUGCACAAUGGGCGAAAGCCUGAUUCAGCUACGCUGCGUGAGUGAUUAAGGCCUUCGUGUCGUAAAGCUCUCUGAUCAGGGAUGAUAAUGACAGUACCCGAAAAACAAGCUACGUCUAACUACGUUCCAGCAGCCGCGGUAAUCCGUAGGUGGCGAGCGUUGUCCGGAAUUACAGCGCGUAAAGUGUUCCUAGGUGGAUACUUAAGUGGGAUGUGAAAUCCCCGGGCUCAACCCGGGAACUGCAUUCCAAACUGGGUAUCUAGAGUGCAGGAGAGGAAAGCGGAAUUCCUAGUGUAGCGGUGAAAUGCGUAGAUAUUAGGAGGAACACCAGUGGCGAAGGCGGCUUUCUGGACUGUAACUGACACUGAGGCAUGAAAGCGUGGGUAGCAAACAGG